rnacentral:sRNA from 1 species
UCACCGGCAAAAUCCGGUGACGGGUUUGGUACCCCGCUAUAUUUUUACACGGCAUAUAAAUGCCAGCUUUUUUGCUGGUUUUUU